rnacentral:rRNA from 1 species
UACGUAGGGCGCGAGCGUUGUCCGGAAUUAUUGGGCGUAAAGAGCUCGUAGGCGGCCUGUUGCGUCCGCUGUGAAAUCCCAGGGCUCAACCCCUGGGCGUGCAGUGGAUACGGGCAGGCUGGAGGCAGGCAGGGGAGAACGGAAUUCCCGGUGUAGCGGUGAAAUGCGCAGAUAUCGGGAGGAACACCAGUGGCGAAGGCGGCGACCUGGACGGACACUGACGCUGAGACGCGAAAGCGUGGGGAGCAAACAGGG